CCUACGGGUGGCAGCAGUGAGGAAUAUUGGUCAAUGGACGCGAGCCUGAACCAGCCAAGUAGCGUGAAGGAUGACUGCCCUACGGGUUGUAAACUUCUUUUAUAAAGGAAUAAAGUGAGCCACGUGUGCCUUUUUGUAUGUACUUUAUGAAUAAGCAUCGGCUAACUCCGUGCCAGCAGCCGCGGUAAUACGGAGGAUCCGAGCGUUAUCCGGCUUUAUUGGGUUUAAAGGGAGCGUAGAUGGGUUGUUAAGUCAGUUGUGAAAGUUUGCGGCUCAACCGUAAAAUUGCAAUUGAUACUGGCAGCCUUGAGUACAGUUGAGGUAGGCGGAAUGCGUGGUGUAGCGGUGAAAUGCUUAGAUAUCACGAAGAACUCCGAUUGCGAAGGCAGUUCACUAAACUGCCACUGACAUUGAUGCUCGAAAGUGUGGGUAUCAAACAGGAUUAGAUACCCUUGUAGUC
rnacentral:rRNA from 1 species